GACGAACGCUGGCGGCGUGCCUAAUACAUGCAAGUAGAACGCUGAAGGAGGAGCUUGCUUCUCUGGAUGAGUUGCGAACGGGUGAGUAACGCGUAGGUAACCUGCCUGGUAGCGGGGGAUAACUAUUGGAAACGAUAGCUAAUACCGCAUAAGAGUAGAUGUUGCAUGACAUUUGCUUAAAAGGUGCAAUUGCAUCACUACCAGAUGGACCUGCGUUGUAUUAGCUAGGUGGUGGGGUAACGGAUCACCAAGGCGACGAUACAUAGCCGACCGGAGAGGGGGGUCAGCCACCCUGGGGAUGAGACCCGGCCCAAACGCCGACGGGAAGCAGCAGGAGGGGAUCUUCGGCAAUGGGCGGAAGUCUGACCGAACAACGCCGCGGGAGUGAAGAAGGUUUUCGGGUCGUAAAGCUCGGUUGUAAGGGGAGAACGAGUGUGAGAGUGGAAAGUUCACACUGUGACGGUAUCUUACCAGAAAGGGACGGCUAACUACGUG
rnacentral:rRNA from 1 species